rnacentral:SRP_RNA from 1 species
GCUGGGCACGGUGGUGCCUGCCUGUAGUGCCAGCGACCAGGGAGGCUGAGGCUGGAGGAUCGCUUGAGUCCAGGAGUUCUGGGCUGCAGGGCGCUAUGCCGAUCGGGUGUCCACACUAAGUUUGGCAUCAAUAUGGUGACCUCCAAGGAGCAGGGAACCACCAGGUUGCCUAAGGAGGGGUGAACCGGCCCAGGUCAGAAAUGGAGCAGGUCAAAACUCCUGUGGUGAUCAGUAGUGGGACCGUGCCUGAGAAUAGCCACUGCACCCCAGCCUGGGAAACAUAGUGAGACCCUGUA